rnacentral:rRNA from 1 species
UACGUAGGGUCCGAGCGUUGUCCGGAUUGACUGGGCGUAGAGCGCACGCAGGCGGUUGCGCGCGUGGGGUGUGAAAUCUGGCCGCUUAACGGCCAGGCGCCAUCCCAUACGGCGCGACUGGAGUGAUGCAGAGGUCGAUGGAAUUGCCGGUGUAGUGGUGAAAUGCGUAGAGAUCGGCAGGAACACCCAGGGGGAAACCAGUCGACUGGGCAUCUACUGACGCUGAGGUGCGAGAGCGUGGGGAGCGAACCGG